rnacentral:rRNA from 1 species
CCUACGGGUGGCAGCAGUGAGGAAUAUUGGUCAAUGGACGCAAGUCUGAACCAGCCAUGCCGCGUGCAGGAAGACUGCUCUAUGAGUUGUAAACUGCUUUUGUACGAGGGUAAAUCCCGACACGUGUAUCGGGUUGAAAGUAUUGUAUGAAUAAGGAUCGGCUAACUCCGUGCCAGCAGCCGCGGUAAUACGGAGGAUUCAAGCGUUAUCCGGAUUUAUUGGGUUUAAAGGGUGCGUAGGCGGGUCGUUAAGUUAGUGGUGAAAUCCCGGGGCUCAACUCUGGCACUGCCUCCGAUACUGGCGGGCUAGAGUAUAGUUGCGGUAGGCGGAAUGUGUGGUGUAGCGGUGAAAUGCAUAGAGAUCAUACAGAACACCGAUUGCGAAGGCAGCUUACCAAACUGCGACUGACGUUGAGGCACGAAAGCGUGGGGAGCAAACAGGAUUAGAUACCCGAGUAGUC